rnacentral:rRNA from 1 species
UAGGGAAUUUUCCACAAUGGACGAAAGUCUGAUGGAGCAACGCCGCGUGCAGGAUGAAGGCCUUCGGGUUGUAAACUGCUUUUAUAUGUGACGAUAAUGACGGUAGCAUAUGAAUAAGGAUCGGCUAACUCCGUGCCAGCAGCCGCGGUCAUACGGAGGAUCCAAGCGUUAUCCGGAAUUACUGGGCGUAAAGAGUUGCGUAGGUGGCAUCGUAAGUCAAUAGUGAAAGCGUGUGGCUCAACCAUACUCACAUUGUUGAAACUGCGAAGCUAGAGGACAAGAGAGGUUAUUGGAAUUCCCAGUGUAGGAGUGAAAUCCGUAGAUAUUGGGAGGAACACCGAUGGCGUAGGCAGAUAACUGGCUUGUUCCUGACACUAAGGCACGAAAGCGCGGGUAGCAAAC